rnacentral:lncRNA from 1 species
UUUUUUGGUUUUACUUUAUGAUAUCUUAACCUCAUUAGGUGGGAGGUGAGCCUCAUAUGGUGGCACACUAUGGGCACCUUGUUUGAUGAAGUCAAGUGGUAUCAAUACAUGUUUUUUUUUUCCCAAUUCAUUAAGUUCAAGUGUAAGCCCGAAAAUAGAAGCUAGGCAUGUAUGAGGGAGAGGAAGGGUGUUAUAGAGAGAGAGAGAGAGAGGUGGGAGGUGAGCCUCAUAUGGUGGCCCACUAUGGUCACCUUGAUCGAUGAAGUCAAGUGGUAGAGAGAGAGAGAGAGAGAGAGGUGGGAGGUGAGCCUCAUAUGGUGGCCCACUAUAGUCACCUUGAUCGAUGAAGUCAAGUGGUAGAGAGAGAGAG